UACGAAGGGGGCUAGCGUUGCUCGGAAUGACUGGGCGUAAAGGGCGCGUAGGCGGAUUGCUUUGUCAGACGUGAAAUUCCAGGGCUCAACCUUGGGGCUGCGUUUGAGACGGGUGAUCUUGAGUUCGGAAGAGGGGUCGUGGAAUUCCCCAGUGUAGAGGUGAAAUUCGUAGAUAUUAGGAAGAACACCGGUGGCGAAGCGGCGGACCUGUCCGAGACUGACGCUGAGGCGCGAAAGCGUGGGGAGCAAACAGG
rnacentral:rRNA from 1 species